rnacentral:rRNA from 1 species
CGGGUGAGUAACGCGUGAGGAACCUGCCUCAAAGAGGGGGACAACAGUUGGAAACGACUGCUAAUACCGCAUAAGCCCACGGCUCGGCAUCGAGCAGAGGGAAAAGGAGUGAUCCGCUUUGAGAUGGCCUCGCGUCCGAUUAGCUAGUUGGUGAGGUAACGGCCCACCAAGGCAACGAUCGGUAGCCGGACUGAGAGGUUGACCGGCCACAUUGGGACUGAGAUACGGCCCAG